GGCGUGCCUAAUACAUGCAAGUCGAGCGAAUCGUUGGGAGCUUGCUCCCAAUGGUUAGCGGCGGACGGGUGAGUAACACGUGGGCAACCUGCCUGUAAGACUGGGAUAACUUCGGGAAACCGGAGCUAAUACCGGAUAAUCCAUUUCCUCUCAUGAGGAAAUGCUGAAAGUCGGUUUCGGCUGACACUUACAGAUGGGCCCGCGGCGCAUUAGCUAGUUGGUGAGGUAACGGCUCACCAAGGCGACGAUGCGUAGCCGACCUGAGAGGGUGAUCGGCCACACUGGGACUGAGACACGGCCCAGACUCCUACGGGAGGCAGCAGUAGGGAAUCUUCCACAAUGGACGAAAGUCUGAUGGAGCAACGCCGCGUGAGCGAUGAAGGCCUUCGGGUCGUAAAGCUCUGUUGUUAGGGAAGAAUAAGUACCGGAGUAACUGACGGUACCUUGACGGUACCUAACCAGAAAGCCACGGCUAACUACGUGCCAGCAGCCGCGGUAAUACGUAGGUGGCAAGCGUUGUCCGGAAUUAUUGGGCGUAAAGCGCGCGCAGGCGGUCCUUUAAGUCUGAUGUGAAAGCCCACGGCUCAACCGUGGAGGGUCAUUGGAAACUGGGGGACUUGAGUGCAGAAGAGG
rnacentral:rRNA from 1 species